rnacentral:rRNA from 1 species
AUGGCGUCACCUCACCGCCUAGCACGCAGCCCCGGCUCGGCCUCCCGCGCCGCCCCGGCCUUCUCGACCGCCAACUUCGUGCGCUCUCUCCGCAAGGCAGCAUCCUUCGGUUACAGGAAGCCCAGCGCCGGCGUCGUCGACGCAGCGGACACGACGCGACGACGCAGCGCGGACACUAUGGUGAUGUCCCCGUGCCGGUCGUCACCCGAGCCGGGCUUCGCUGCGAGGGGUGCCGGGGAUCUGCAGACGAGGCGUAGGCAGAGCAACGGGCAGUCGUCGCCUUCCGAGGGCGUCGGCAGAGGGCCGAGCGUGCCGAGGAAGACGCCGACGACGCCUAAGAAGGAGGACGUGGCGCACCGGGCGCGCGUGCUCACCGCGCGGCUGAUGCAGUGGCGGCUCGCGAACGCCCGGAUGGAGAAGGCCAUGACUCGCGCCACCCACGCCGCCGAGAGCAAGCUGCUGUACGUGUGGCGGCGCGUGGCCGAGCUGCGCAACAUCCACACGGCGAAGCGGAUCGUGGCGCAGCGGUGGCGGCAGAAGGUGAAGCUGGGCAGGCUCCUGCGCCCGCAGCUCCCCCUCCUCGCCGCAUGGGAGACGCUCGGCGAACCGCACUCAGACGCUGUGGCGGACCUCGGCCGGGUGCUCUCCGCCGCCUCGACCUCCCUCCCCUUAUCCGACGGCGCCCGAGCUAACCUGGAGCUGUUGCACGAAACCAUGCUUUCUUGCGCGCGCACCGUGGAUGAGAUCAAAGCCAGGGCUGACAUGUUCUAUGCCACGGGUAGUGUCACCAGCAGCUCGAUCGACGAGCUCGCGAGGACAAUGCAGGAGGAGAUGGCAGGGCUCGAGGAGGUCAUGCGGCUGUGCAGGAUUGUCACUAACCUCCAGGUUCAGGAAGUAAGCCUUCGAGCUAAUCUGAUUCAGGCAAAGCAAAAUAUUGACUGCUCCUAG